UACGAAGGGGGCUAGCGUUGUUCGGAUUUACUGGGCGUAAAGCGCACGUAGGCGGAUCGUUAAGUCGGGGGUGAAAUCCUGGAGCUCAACUCCAGAACUGCCUUCGAUACUGGCGAUCUUGAGUCCGGAAGAGGUGAGUGGAACUCCUAGUGUAGAGGUGGAAUUCGUAGAUAUUCGCAAGAACACCAGUGGCGAAGGCGGCUCACUGGCCCGAUACUGACGCUGAGGUGCGAAAGCGUGGGGAGCAAACAGG
rnacentral:rRNA from 1 species